UGUGGUGGGCUGUUCCACGCGGGCGCCUGA
rnacentral:piRNA from 1 species